AGUAACGCGUGGAUAACCUGCCCCAUACCGGGGGAUAACAGCCGGAAACGGCUGCUAAUACCGCAUAAGCGCACGAGGCUGCAUGGCCCUGUGUGAAAAACUCCGGUGGUAUGGGAUGGAUCCGCGUCUGAUUAGCUAGUUGGUGAGAUAAAAGCCCACCAAGGCGACGAUCAGUAGCCGACCUGAGAGGGUGGCCGGCCACAUUGGGACUGAGACACGGCCCAGACUCCUACGGAAGGCAGCAG
rnacentral:rRNA from 1 species